rnacentral:rRNA from 1 species
AGAGCGAACGUUAGCGGCAGGCCUAACACAUGCAAGUCGCGCGAGAAAGAGGGGUUCGCCCCUCGUGUAAAGCGGCGCACGGGUGAGUAACGCGUGGAUAAUCUGCCCUUCGAUGGAGGACAACAGCCCGAAAGGGUUGCUAAUACUGCAUACGUCGGCGAGGUCCUCGGACCUUGUCGGGAAAGUCGCCGCAAGGUGGCGUCGAAGGAGGAGUCCGCGUCCCAUCAGCUAGUUGGUAAGGUAACGGCUUACCAAGGCAAAGACGGGUAGCUGGUCUGAGAGGAUGAUCAGCCACACUGGGACUGAGACACGGCCCAGACUCCUACGGGAGGCAGCAGUGGGGAAUAUUGGACAAUGGGCGCAAGCCUGAUCCAGCCAUGCCGCGUGAGUGAUGAAGGCCUUCGGUCGUAAAGCUCUGUGGAGGGGAAGAACGACGUUGCAGCAUCAGAUCCUGACAACUCGACGGUACCCUUAGCAAGCACCGCUAACUCCGUACG